GACGAACGCUGGCGGCGUGCCUAACACAUGCAAGUCGAACGGAGUGUUUAUUUAUAAACACUUAGUGGCGAACGGGUGAGUAACGCGUAGACAACCUACCCUCUAGAUGGGGACAACACCGCGAAAGUGGUGCUAAUACCGAAUGUUGUAAUGUUGUUGCAUAAUGAUAUUACUAAAGGUGGCCUCUAUAUAAAAGCUACCGCUAGAAGAUGGGUCUGCGUCUGAUUAGCUAGUUGGUGAGAUAACAGCUCACCAAGGCAAUGAUCAGUAGCCGGGCUUAGAGGAUGAACGGCCACACUGGGACUGAGACACGGCCCAGACUCCUACGGGAGGCAGCAGUGGGGAAUCUUCCGCAAUGGACGAAAGUCUGACGGAGCAACGCCGCGUGAGUGAAGAAGGUUUUCGGAUCGUAAAGCUCUGUCUUCAAGGACGAAUGUAGAUAUUGUGAAUAAUGAUAUUUAAUGACGGUACUUGAGGAGGAAGCCACGGCUAACUACGUGCCAGCCGCCGCAGUAA
rnacentral:rRNA from 1 species